GGGCCUUUGUAGUCUUUGUCAUCUCCCAUCUAAACUUCUUCUACCCUUGGACCACCUGAGACCAUCUCCGAUUUGGAUCCACUGAGGAAGUUUUCGUUGGCGAUGCAUUCUUUGGCAUGUUAUUUGCUAAUGGGGGGCUAGGCCUUGUAGGCGAGAAUGAGGCUCCCAGACGAGAAGCAUCUUCCCCAGCCACUAUAGAAGAAACCCCUUG
rnacentral:lncRNA from 1 species